GAUGAACGCUGGCGGCGUGCCUAAUACAUGCAAGUCGAGCGAACAGACGAGGCUCUUGCUCCUCUCACGUUAGCGGCGGGCGGGUGAGUAACACGUGGAUAACCCCCCUAUAAGACUGGGAUCACUUCGGGAAACCGGAGCUAAUACCGGAUAAUAUAUUGAACCGCAUGGUUCAAUAGUGAAAGUCGGUUUUGCUGUCACUUCUCGCUGGUUCCGGGCCGCAUUAGCUAGUUGGUGAGGUAACGGCUUAUCAAGGCAACGAUGCGUAUCCGAACGGAGAGGGGGAUCGGCCACCCGGGGACUGAGACACGGACCAGACGCCUACGGGAGGCAGCAGUAGGGAACCUUCCGCAAUGGGGGAAAGCCUGACGGAGCAACGCCGCGUGAGUGAUGAAGGUCUUCGGAUCGUAAAACCGUGUUAUUAGGGGAGAACAAAUGUGUAAGUAACUAUGCACGUCUUGACGGUACCUAAUCAGAAAGCCACGGCUAACUACGUG
rnacentral:rRNA from 1 species